CACUAUCGUUAACUGAAUACAUAGGUUAACGAGGCGAACCGGGGGAACUGAAACAUCUAAGUACCCCGAGGAAAAGAAAUCAACCGAGAUUCCCCCAGUAGCGGCGAGCGAACGGGGAGCAGCCCGGAGUCUGAAUCAGCUUGUGUGUUAGUGGAACGGUCUGGAAAGUCCGACGGUACAGGGUGAUAGUCCCGUACACGAAAGCACACUUGCUGUGAACUCGAAGAGUAGGGCGGGACACGUGGUAUCCUGUCUGAAUAUGGGGGGACCAUCCUCCAAGGCUAAAUACUCCUGACUGACCGAUAGUGAACCAGUACCGUGAGGGAAAGGCGAAAAGAACCCCGGCGAGGGGAGUGAAAAAGAACCUGAAACCGUGUACGUACAAGCAGUGGGAGCACCUUCGUGGUGUGACUGCGUACCUUUUGUAUAAUGGGUCAGCGACUUAUAUUCUGUAGCAAGGUUAACCGUAUAGGGGAGCCGAAGGGAAACCGAGUCUUAACUGGGCGUUAAGUUGCAGGGUAUAGACCCGAAACCCGGUGAUCUAGCCAUGGGCAGGUUGAAGGUUGGGUAACACUAACUGGAGGACCGAACCGACUAAUGUUGAAAAAUUAGCGGAUGACCUGUGGCUGGGGGUGAAAGGCCAAUCAAACCGGGAGAUAGCUGGUUCUCCCCGAAAGCUAUUUAGGUAGCGCCUCGUGAACUCAUCUUCGGGGGUAGAGCACUGUUUCGGCUAGGGGGCCAUCCCGGCUUACCAACCCGAUGCAAACUACGAAUACCGAAGAAUGUUAUCACGGGAGACACACGGCGGGUGCUAACGUCCGUCGUGAAGAGGGAAACAACCCAGACCGCCAGCUAAGGUCCCAAAGUCAUGGUUAAGUGGGAAACGAUGUGGGAAGGCACAGACAGCCAGGAUGUUGGCUUAGAAGCAGCCAUCAUUUAAAGAAAGCGUAAUAGCUCACUGGUCGAGUCGGCCUGCGCGGAAGAUGUAACGGGGCUAAACCAUGCACCGAAGCUGCGGCAGCGACACUAUGUGUUGUUGGGUAGGGGAGCGUUCUGUAAGCCGUUGAAGGUGUGCUGUGAGGCAUGCUGGAGGUAUCAGAAGUGCGAAUGCUGACAUAAGUAACGAUAAAGCGGGUGAAAAGCCCGCUCGCCGGAAGACCAAGGGUUCCUGUCCAACGUUAAUCGGGGCAGGGUGAGUCGACCCCUAAGGCGAGGCCGAAAGGCGUAGUCGAUGGGAAACAGGUUAAUAUUCCUGUACUUGGUGUUACUGCGAAGGGGGGACGGAGAAGGCUAUGUCAGCCGGGCGACGGUUGUCCCGGUUUAAGCAUGUAGGCGGAGGUUCCAGGUAAAUCCGGUACCUUAUUAACGCUGAGGUGUGAUGACGAGGCACUACGGUGCUGAAGUGAUAAAUGCCCUGCUUCCAGGAAAAGCCUCUAAGCAUCAGGUAACACGAAAUCGUACCCCAAACCGACACAGGUGGUCAGGUAGAGAAUACCAAGGCGCUUGAGAGAACUCGGGUGAAGGAACUAGGCAAAAUGGUGCCGUAACUUCGGGAGAAGGCACGCUGAUGUGUAGGUGAAGCCCCUGCGGGCGGAGCUGAAAUCAGUCGAAGAUACCAGCUGGCUGCAACUGUUUAUUAAAAACACAGCACUGUGCAAACACGAAAGUGGACGUAUACGGUGUGACGCCUGCCCGGUGCCGGAAGGUUAAUUGAUGGGGUUAGCUGUAAGGCGAAGCUCUUGAUCGAAGCCCCGGUAAACGGCGGCCGUAACUAUAACGGUCCUAAGGUAGCGAAAUUCCUUGUCGGGUAAGUUCCGACCUGCACGAAUGGCGUAAUGAUGGCCAGGCUGUCUCCACCCGAGACUCAGUGAAAUUGAACUCGCUGUGAAGAUGCAGUGUACCCGCGGCAAGACGGAAAGACCCCGUGAACCUUUACUAUAGCUUGACACUGAACACUGGUCCUUGAUGUGUAGGAUAGGUGGGAGGCUUUGAAGCGUGGACGCCAGUCUGCGUGGAGCCGCCCUUGAAAUACCACCCUUUAAUGGCUGGUGUUCUAACGUAGACCCGUAAUCCGGGUUGCGGACAGUGUCUGGUGGGUAGUUUGACUGGGGCGGUCUCCUCCCAAAGAGUAACGGAGGAGCACGAAGGUUGGCUAAUCCUGGUCGGACAUCAGGAGGUUAGUGCAAUGGCAUAAGCCAGCUUGACUGCGAGCGUGACGGCGCGAGCAGGUGCGAAAGCAGGUCAUAGUGAUCCGGUGGUUCUGAAUGGAAGGGCCAUCGCUCAACGGAUAAAAGGUACUCCGGGGAUAACAGGCUGAUACCGCCCAAGAGUUCAUAUCGACGGCGGUGUUUGGCACCUCGAUGUCGGCUCAUCACAUCCUGGGGCUGAAGUAGGUCCCAAGGGUAUGGCUGUUCGCCAUUUAAAGUGGUACGCGAGCUGGGUUUAGAACGUCGUGAGACAGUUCGGUCCCUAUCUGCCGUGGGCGCUGGAGAAUUGAGGGGGGCUGCUCCUAGUACGAGAGGACCGGAGUGGACGCAUCACUGGUGUUCGGGUUGUCAUGCCAAUGGCACUGCCCGGUAGCUAAAUGCGGAAGAGAUAAGUGCUGAAAGCAUCUAAGCACGAAACUUGCCCCGAGAUGAGUUCUCCCUGAGACUUUAAGUCUCCUGAAGGAACGUUGAAGACGACGACGUUGAUAGGUCGGGUGUGUAAGCGCAGCGAUGCGUUGAGCUAACCGAUACUAAUGAACCGUGAGGCUUAACCUU
rnacentral:rRNA from 2 species